rnacentral:rRNA from 1 species
AGAAAAUAGGUGCCCGUACCGCAAACCGACACAGGUAGUCAAGAUGAGAAUUCUAAGGUGAGCGAGCGAACUCUCGUUAAGGAACUCGGCAAAAUGACCCCGUAACUUCGGGAGAAGGGGUGCUCUUUAGGGUUAACGCCCAGAAGAGCCGCAGUGAAUAGGCCCAAGCGACUGUUUAUCAAAAACACAGGUCUCUGCUAAACCGUAAGGUGAUGUAUAGGGGCUGACGCCUGCCCGGUGCUGGAAGGUUAAGAGGAGUGGUUAGCUUCUGCGAAGCUACGAAUCGAAGCCCCAGUAAACGGCGGCCGUAACUAUAACGGUCCUAAGGUAGCGAAAUUCCUUGUCGGGUAAGUUCCGACCCGCACGAAAGGCGUAACGAUUUGGGCACUGUCUCAACGAGAGACUCGGUGAAAUCAUAGUACCUGUGAAGAUGCAGGUUACCCGCGACAGGACGGAAAGACCCCGUGGAGCUUUACUGUAGCCUGAUAUUGAAAUUCGGCACAGCUUGUACAGGAUAGGUAGGAGCCUUUGAAACGUGAGCGCUAGCUUACGUGGAGGCGCUGGUGGGAUACUACCCUAGCUGUGUUGGCUUUCUAACCCGCACCACUUAUCGUGGUGGGAGACAGUGUCA